rnacentral:rRNA from 1 species
UACAGAGGGGGCAAGCGUUGUUCGGAAUUACUGGGCGUAAAGGGCGCGUAGGCGGCCUGUUAAGUCAUGCGUGAAAUCCCCGGGCUCAACCCGGGAACUGCGUCUGAUACUGGCAGGCUUGAAUCCGGGAGAGGGAUGUGGAAUUCCAGGUGUAGCGGUGAAAUGCGUAGAUAUCUGGAGGAACACCGGUGGCGAAGGCGGCAUCCUGGACCGGCAUUGACGCUGAGGCGCGAAAGCCAGGGGAGCAAACGGG